rnacentral:misc_RNA from 1 species
AAAGUCGUAACAAGGUUUCCGUAGGUGAACCUGCGGAAGGAUCAUUACCUUCAGAGUAGCUUGAGUGUUUCCCCCCUCCAGGUCUCGUGCCGGAGCCCCGAUCGAUUGUCCCCGCCCACCCUCCGGGGACCGGCUUCUGCGUGCAGAGCAUCGAGGGAUGAUUGACGGGGAGGGAGACCUCUAAACCUCAUCCCUGUGACCGUACCUCGCGUACUUGCAAGAAAUCGCCCCUGAUGGGUCGCGAUCGUCAGUAAAUCAUCACACCCGAGUAAUUGGAACAGUCUGAGUCAAAGACACAGUUAAAACUUUCAACAACGGAUCUCUUGGUUCCG